rnacentral:misc_RNA from 1 species
GUGAAUCAUCAAAUUUUUGAACGCAAAUUGCACUCUCCUCGUAGAGUAUGCCUGUUUGAGGGUCAGCCUAUAAAAAAUCUACAUCGUUACUGUUUCACGGUGACGUUCGUCGGAGCUUUGGUCAUCUUAGAUCCUUGUGAUUUAAGCGACUUAAACUUGUCUGUUGGUUCCAUGAACGUUUCUAUGAUUUAUUUCUUUACUCGUUUACGGGUAUCGAUUUUUAUUAGACGUGGACGUCAUAUCGGAUCUCGUC